GUUUAUACGUAAGACUCUAUUACUGAUGUGUAAUCUAUUCAGUGUUUUUCCUGCUGGAAUGUAGAUCUCCUCUGGAUGGUUUUGAGGUUGUGUGAUUACACUAACUAAACCAAACACCAACAGGUAUUCUAGCUAUGGAUUUUUUAUUCGUCUUUUUUAACGUAUACUUUUUUAACCCUUCACCAUUGAAUAUCAUUUUCUAACAUACAAGUGGAAUGGUAGGCAUGUAGGAGAAUUGUUUUAGCUCAUGGCCCCAUGUGGUGAACCAGGCACAUACAAAGGAAUUAUUUUUACUGCAGCCAGUGGAGUCGAGAUAUGAGAAGCUGUGCUGUGUCACACACCCUCUACGUCAGACUACUCUUGCCUCGGACUUUUCUCCCUCAUUCCCUUCACUCACGGCUGUCACCUUCUCCUGUAAAGUUGCCCCGGUAGAAUGAAGGAGGACAUUCUUGAAAUGAGUAACAGAACGAAUGAGAAAUUCCGUUUACACAAAGGAUUCGAUAUAAAGUAUUUGCACAGGUAAACUUCACCUGCCUUUCACUCAAGAUGGCCAGCCAGAACAAAUGCUACCAUGAUGAGCCAAUGAGCUUCUUCUACAACAACAGCAACCAGACCAAAGACAAUUGGAACUCCACACAGCUCAUUCUGGUCCAAGUUGUAGGCUCCCUCUUCUGCUGCUUUAUCCUGGUGUCCAACGCCAUGGUCAUUGCCGCCAUCAUCACCAACAAGAGGUUCCACUACCCGUUCUACUAUCUCCUUGCCAACCUGGCCGCUUCAGACUUCCUCGCUGGAAUAGCCUACGUAUACCUCAUGUUCAACACCGGGAUGGUGUCCAGGAAACUAACCGUGAGGGGCUAUUUCAUUCGUCAAGGGCUUCUGGACACCAGUCUCUCAGCCUCUCUGGCGAACUUGCUAGUGAUCGCCUUGGAGCGCUACAUCUCUGUGAUGAACUGGAAGGUCCACAGUAACUUGACCAAGCGACGGGUGACCCUGCUCAUCGUGCUGGUGUGGGCCAUUUCUAUCUUCAUGGGCACCGUGCCCAGCCUGGGGUGGAACUGCAUCUGCAACCUUCAGGACUGCUCCCAGCUGGCGCCCAUCUUCAGCCGGAGCUACCUGAUUUUCUGGUCCGUGUCCAACCUGGUUUUGUUCCUGGUCAUGGUGUCCAUCUACCUGCGGAUUUACACCUACGUCAAGAGGAAAACGGCGGUGCUCAGCCCGCACACCAGCGGCUCCAUCAACCGCAAGAGGACACCCAUCAAGCUCAUCAAGACAGUCAUGACUGUGUUAGGUAGGCUUGAGGCCAUCGGAUUCCUCUCACAUUGUGUCAAUGUGGGAACUUCAAAUGUGUUUCUGAGUAGUACUGAGCCCUUUAUGAAGGACUACAUUAAAAAAAAUGUCCUUGAUUGGACCCAUCAGAAUUUCACUGUUCGGAAAUGUAGUCCUUCCUAAUGUCUGAGUAGCACUAGUACUCUGUGCUCUUAAGUAGCAGAACAUUUGAUCAUUUCAUUGGUUCUUAAAGGACUUUCCUCAUAAGCAGUUAGACACACUCACAAGCUUGUCUCAAAGGUUAUUUAGCUGGUUGAGUGUGGAGAAAGGUAGGGAAAGCAUUGUUGCUGACAACAGUGGAUUGUAAUUUACAUUUCCAAGAUAGUGGGGAAAAUCCUGAUUAAAUUAACUCAAUUGAGGUUUGAGCAAAAUGUUAUGGUCAAGGCCUUCAAAAAAACACUUCAAUAUAUCCCACAUAGUGAUAUAAUUUGACUGAUAUUGACAUCAUUUUUUAAAGUAAUCUUUGUUUGACCUGGGUGUUGGUUUAAAAAGUGGACGGUUGUACCAUGAACCUCAAAGUUUGCUGUGCAGUUGUGCGUCUUCAACUUGGGUUGCAGUUACUUAGCACUUUAUUCAGCACAGAAGCAUAUUAUUUGCUCUGAUCUGUCUCCGCUUAAUAACAUGGUUCUCCACUCAGGAUCACUCAUCUGUGCACAUGUCUAAAUCACUAACAAAGAAAAGUCAUUUCAACUAACAUCGUUAGAGCAUGUGUUGAUACUGAUAGGGUCUAAAGAAAGGCAGAGCUGCUCUCUAAUAAGCUUUCUCUAGUCAAAUCUUACCUUAACAUUAUAAUUAUUCAAAAUACUGAUGACGGAUCAACUCCUAGAGUGAUAUUACCACCUAUGUGGCUGCAAAUAUUGAGUCGGCUUAUUCUAAUGCUUACCCACAUAAUGAAAUAUUACAGUAGCCUAUUAGCGAAAUAUAACUUUUUAUCCUUUGCCUGUUUGUAACAAUUGCAAAGACGUUCACUUUGUUUUUGUAGUUAUCGGUGGUCACAGACAGAUGGACAAACAUCUUGAUUCUAAGUUUAGUUUCAUUUAUUCGGAUCCCCAAUAGCUUUUGUUGAAGCAGCAUAUAUUCUUCCAGGGGUCCACACAAAAGCAUAAAACACGACAAGUAACAAAACACCAAUACACUGAUAGACAAGACCAGUCACACAAAUGUAAAAUACAAUGAUAUACAACGAUAUACAUAUAGAGCGGAGAUCUUCUCUAUAAAGUGACGCGGGAGGACAAAAAGCAUCUAACGAUGCACUUAGCUGUUAACAAAGCUCCUACGAAAGUUCCAACAAUGAACUUAGCCUUAAGAUGCUCUUGGGAAUCAGGGCCCAGGUCUCCCCUGUAAAAAAAUAUAUUCUGAACUAAAUGACCUCAAAUUCCUGCAUAAAUGAAGGUAAAAAAAAUUGUGGAUCAGUCUACAAGGGCUUGUUUUCAACAUGUGUGUGAAUAGCAAACAUACCAUAAAUGUGCGGUCCUAAACAUAUACAUUUGCACAUGAGCAUGUACAUCCCAGAUAAGAUCAUGUGGGCCUCUGCUGGUAGGUGUGUCGGAACAGGAUAUGUUGCACUUGAGACAAUAGUUGAGCACAUCCACCCUCUCCUUAGCAUGGCUCCUCAGUACAGGUCAGGCGAGUUUGAUUGUUAUCAACUCAGCCAGUAGGUGCUGCUGAAUUUUCUAAACAUCAACUUUUUGUAUGUUCCAGAUAGCAUAUUUACAGCUCUAUGUUGUGCUAGAAGGAGUGUUUUCUUAUAUGAUGUCCUCCUGCCAGAUUAAUCGCCCCCCAGAUAGGCGUGGAGGAAGCUGCCUCGCUCUCUGUACAGAGUGUCUUCAAGACUGCUCUAUGUAAUUAUCUCUCGCACAAGGACACACACAGUCACACACUGGUUAGGCUGCCAGGCAUCUCAGCCGAAACCGCCCAAGACUGCACGGUCUGCGGCUUUCUCAGAAGAACCCCCAAAAAGAACCUAUACUUUCAGGGGUUUUCAGGCAGCGUGCAAAUUGCUUUCAGAUGCAAUUGUCCUCAUUAAACUAGCUGUUGUGCUCUUAUGUCUUCAAGUUGCAAGUCAAGCCUACCGUUACGUUAUUCUGAGGUGAAAGACUCGAGACGCUAGGGAGGGUGUCUCAUUGUAUUAUUUUGAGCCUGCUGGAAUUUUCCCACAUUAUAGGCAUGGGUCAUUUGACGUUGUGUGUUACCCAAUCACUUUUGUCAUGAUACAAUUGUCUCUAUCCUAGAGCAAUUUGGAAGAAUUGAUGCAAUUCUCCACAUUCCAUCUGUGAGUUGUUGUUCGAUAACAUUGUGAUGCAGAAAGUCAACUCAAGAUUGAAAAAUAGAAACUCUAUUGUCAGUAUCUCAGUUGGGAAUACAGUAGGCAGCAAACUGGUAGAAAAAAACCGUAACAAGCUUCUAAAUAUGCCUAAAAUGUUCAUGUGAAAGCAUUAUCCUAUGUGACAAAGAUAAGAACAUGGGAGAAGUAUGAGAGAAAGUGAGGAAAGGAAUUGGAGGUUAAGAAACAAGUACUCAAGCAUAUUGCUGGGGCUGUACGAGGAAGAAAACAGCUCUUGUUAGCUCAUGUUUCAAGUGAAUAGAAAUCUGUUCUUUUGUGUUGACUAACACUGAAUUAGUGACUGGAUAAACCUGUCCAGACUUUUUCUGGGGCCUCAUUUAUAACCGCUGUAUACAUUUCACAAUAAAUAUUGAUGGCUAUAAACUUAAAUAGUAAAUAAGCAUGUUUUCUGAAAUCAAUCAGGUGGAAACUCCACCUGAAAAACGCCCAUCAUUCACCUUGUAUGGUGACAAUAAUGCCCUUAUUUGCUGUAUACUUUGGAAGUAUUGGAAUUAGGCCAAGGCAGUUUCUAAAGGAACUAGCAAUUGUGAACCUGAUAAAAAUGUCUGGAGGUGUUGUUUAAAACUUUUACAGGGACAUGUGCUAUAUCUGACAGUUUCUGAAAGAAAAAAAACUAUUGAUUUCCAUUUACUUUUUCCCCCGAACCUAAAUAUGCUGCACUGCCUGCGAAUUCUGAAACAUUGUCUUGUUAGUAUGUCUACUGUAUAAAAACUAAUAAUAAUAAAAAAACAGUAGGCCUACUUGCAGUGGAAGCCUAUACACUUCAAAGCAAAAUAUCAACUGUCUGUUCAUCUGUAAAAUGUAUACUGUAUAUUAUAAACCACGCUCCCAGUCGGAUAGAGAGGCUAUUAUUUCAAGUAUUUUAAGCAGUAGGCACAAUUCAAUGAGAGAUGCACAAGGCAAUUUGUUGUAGGAAUAUGGAACCCAUCAAUGUCAGAAAAGGUGGUGAGGAAUUUAUUCUGCAAAGGUUAUAAAAAAAUAUGUAUUUUGUAGGCCUAUUAUGUUUAUAAAUGUAAUAUUGUUUACUUGAGACAUUUGAAAUGACAGUAGGCUAUUCAGAAGUACAGUAGCCUAAAAAAAACUAAAUGGAAAAGGUGAACCGUCUGUUCGCAUAGAGAAAAAUACUUGAAAUUGUUAAAAUAUUUACAACUGUAAAGUGGGUCCAAUGAAAUGAAAGUUGGGACAUUGUAGGCCUAAGGCUACUUUGAAAAUAUGAAGCCAUCACAGUCAGUAAGGGUGAUGAAUGUAUUCUGUCAUGGAAAUUAAGUAGGAAAUAUAUGCCUAUUUCUAACUAUUUCAAAGACGCAAAGAUGCAAAAAACAAUAUUUUCUCUUCUCACUAACGGCAAAUGAUGGCAUCUUGUUAUUAUAUUUACCUUUUGUUAUGAAUAAGUGUUUCAUCAUAUCCCUAAUUUGCACAAAAAACUAGGCUACUUGCCUGCUUGUAUUGCAAUACUUCAACCAGAAACUGUUUAUGCAUGGUCUGAACUUUUGCGGGAAAUAAGGUUUGCAGGUAGCUAAACAAAUUCUCACAUCAUGUUUGGUUAUAAAUGCCAACUUUUGCCUGAAAACUGAUGCAUGCAUGUUUUGGAGUAUAUUUUGUACUCAACGUUUAUAAAUGAGGCCACAGGGGCGGGUGGGUGUGUUGAAAAGAGUGGGUGUACGAAAGCAAAUCCGCAAACUGGGCAUACUAUUUGAUGCCACUCAAGGCCGUUUUGCUUUGGCUGAUUGGACUUGGACGACGAGUCAAUAAGCCGGCGACUAGCACACCAGUGUUGUAUUGACGUGCCUGCCGACCUUUAUUUAUUGUUGUUCAACUAGGCAAGUCAGUUAACUUCUUAAGGUAUAGGGGGCAGCAUUUUCACUUUUGGAUAAGUAGCGUGCCAAAUUUCACCUUCCUGCUACUCAUGCCAAGAAUAUUAGAUAUUCGUAUUAUUAGUAGAUUUGGAUAGAAAACACUGAAGUUUCUAAAAACUGUUUGAAUCAUGUCUGUGAGUAUAACAGAACUUACGUAGCAGGCAAAACCCCGAGGACUAACCAUUCAGAUUUUUUUUUUGGAGGUCACUGUCUAUUCAAUGUGGUUUCAUUAGGGAACUAUAUUUAUUCAGCACUUGUUUGCAGUUCCUACCGCUUCCACUGGAUGUCACCAGUCUUUGGAAAAUGGUUGAGGUUAUUCCUUUGUGAAAUGAAGAAGCACGGCCCUCUUGGAACUGGGUAACACUGUUGAGAGUUGCGCAAGACUUGAAAAGUAGCGUUGGUUUGUUGUCUUCCUGUAUUGAACACAGAUAGACCCGUCUUCAAUUUGAUCGAUUAUUAACGUUUAAAAAUACCUAAAGUUGUAUUACAAAAGUACUUUGAAAUGUUUCGGCAAAGUUUACAGUUAACUUUUGAGAUAUUUUGUAGUGACGUUGCGCAAAUUGGAAGCUUUUUUUCUGGAUCAAACGCACCAAAUAAAUGGACUAUUUCGAUAUAAAGGACGGAAUUCAUCGAACAAAAGGACCAAUUGUGAUGUUUAUGGGACAUAUUGGAGUGCCAACAAAAGAAGCUCAUCAAAGGGGCAUUUGUGAUCUGCUGGACGCCGGGCCUGGUGGUGCUGCUGCUAGACGGCCUCCAUUGCCAGCAGUGC